UCCUAUGGGGGAGUACAGACGAAGAGAAUUUUGUAGAAGGUGUAUUAUUUCACAAUACACCCCACCCGCUGCAGUUCCUCAAAAAAGUUCAAUGCUUAAUGUGAAAAAUAACCAUAGCUACUUCCUUCCACUGAGAACACAAAGAGGACAUGACUCUCCAGCUGAGCUUAAACAAGGACCAGAUCCUCUGCAUCCCUGGCCUCUGACUCCAGCUGUGUUCUCUGUAACUGAACUUCCACACUGCACCUGCACUGCAUGUGAAGCAUGGCUUGAAAUCCUGUCUGGAUUAUCGCACCUCUGUAAUGCCAGCACUCAGGAAUGCUGGAGAAGAAGUUCAUACAUUUGAGGCCAGUGGGGGGAUAGACAGUGAAUAUGAGGCAAGCUUGGAUACAUAUUAAGAAACCACCAUGAUGGUUUGUAUAUGCUUGGGCUAGGGAGUGGCACUAUUAGGAGGUGUGGCCUUGUUGGAGUAGUAAGUGUGUCACAGUGGACGUGGGCUUUACCUUAGGUCCUAGCUGCCUGCACAACAGUCUUAGAGACCUGCAAAUGAAGAUGUAGAACUCUCAGCUCUUUCUGCAUCAUGCCUUCCUGAAUGCUGCCAUGCUCCUGCCUUGAUGAUAAUGGACUGAAACUCUGAACCUGUAAGCCAGCCCCAAUUAAAUAUUGUUCUUAUAAGA